ACCGGCCUGUCACGCCGGGGGUCGCGGGUUCGAGUCCCGUCCACUCCGCCA
rnacentral:tRNA from 1 species